ACGGCGGCGGCCGGGAAGGGGCCAGGGCCGCGGGUGACGGGUUCCGGUGUCGGGCGCAGACGUGUCGGCGGGACCGCACAGCGAGAGGCGCUGCCCCUGCCCCUCGGAACAGCGCCCGGUCCGGGGCCGGGGCCGGCCCGGCGGCGCCAUGUCCGGGACCAGCAGCCCUGAAGCCGUGAAGAAGCUGCUGGAAAACAUGCAAGGGGACCUGCGGGGCCUGAGCCUGGAGUGCAGGAAAAAAUUCCCCCCCGUCAAGGAGGCUGCUGAAUCAGGAAUAAUAAAAGUGAAAACAAUAGCUGCACGGAACACUGAUAUUUUGGCAGCAUUGAAAGAAAACAGCUCAGAAGUAGUUCAGCCUUUUCUAAUGGGUUGUGGAACAAAGGAACCAAAGAUCACUCAGCUGUGUCUAGCAGCCAUACAGAGGCUCAUGUCCCAUGAAGUUGUUUCAGAGGCUGCAGCAGGAAAUAUUAUUAAUAUGCUUUGGCAACUGAUGGAAAAUAGUCUUGAAGAACUUAAAUUGCUCCAGACAGUUCUUGUACUUUUAACAACCAAUACAGUUGUGCAUGAUGAAGCACUGUCCAAGGCAAUUGUACUUUGUUUUCGAUUGCACUUUACAAAAGAUAAUAUCACAAAUAAUACUGCAGCAGCUACAGUGCGGCAAGUAGUUACUGUUGUAUUUGAGAGAGUGGUUGCUGAAGAUGAGCGAUACAAAGAUACCGUUGACCAGCCAGUUGCAGUUCAAGGAAAUAGUAACAGAAGAUCUGUCAGUACAUUGAAGCCUUGUGCUAAAGAUGCCUAUAUGCUUUUUCAGGAUCUUUGUCAGUUAGUUAACGCAGAUGCUCCCUACUGGCUUGUGGGUAUGACAGAAAUGACCCGGACUUUUGGCCUUGAACUUCUUGAGUCAGUCCUCAAUGACUUUCCACAAGUGUUUCUACAACAUCAGGAAUUCAGUUUUCUUCUUAAAGAAAGGGUAUGCCCUCUUGUUAUAAAGCUCUUCUCCCCAAAUAUCAAGUUCAGGCAAGGUUCCAGCACGUCGUCUUCCCCAGCACCAGUGGAAAAACCAUACUUCCCCAUCUGUAUGCGUUUGCUGAGAGUAGUUUCUGUUUUGAUUAAGCAGUUUUACAGUUUGCUGGUAACAGAAUGUGAAAUCUUUCUGUCAUUGCUGGUGAAGUUUUUGGAUGCAGACAAACCACAGUGGCUAAGAGCUGUUGCGGUAGAAUCUAUUCACAGACUGUGUGUUCAGCCUCAGCUAUUAAGGUCUUUUUGUCAAUCAUACGAUAUGAAGCAACAUUCCACUAAAGUUUUCCGUGAUAUUGUGAAUGCAUUGGGGUCCUUCAUCCAGUCACUAUUUCUUGUACCAAGCACAGGAAGCACAUCAACAACGCCAAACCAAACUGGAAGCAAUGUGUCAGGGAAUACUGGCUCAGCACAAACUAACCCAGGUGUGCUUGGAAUGGGAGGAGGUGCAACUGUAUUACCUGCAUUUGAGUACAGAGGCACUUGGAUACCUAUCCUGAAUGUAACAGUACAAGGCAGUGCUAAAGCAACCUAUUUGGAAAUGCUGGACAAAGUAGAGCCACCUACAAUUCCUGAGGGUUAUGCCAUGUCAGUGGCAUUUCACUGCUUACUAGAUCUUGUCCGUGGUAUCACUACCAUGAUUGAAGGAGAGUUGGGAGAAGCAGAAACAGCCAGUCAAGCCACAGCGGAGACAACUUCAUUACCAACACAGUCUUCAGAGCAGCAAGAUUUCCAAUCUGUGUCUGACCAAUCAGAGAAAGAACUAGUCAGCAGAGCUGUCUGGGAGGAAAUGGUGAAUGCUUGUUGGUGUGGUCUUCUGGCUGCUUUAUCCCUCCUACUUGAUGCAAGCACCGAUGAAGCUGCCACUGAAAAUAUUCUGAAAGCAGAAUUAACCAUGGCUGCACUUUGUGGAAGAUUGGGUCUUGUAACAUCAAGAGAUGCCUUUAUCACUGCCAUUUGCAAAGGGUCCUUGCCUCCUCACUAUGCCCUUACUGUAUUGAACAGUACAACUGCAGCUCUGUCCAGCAAAUCAUAUUCCAUUCAGGGACAGAAUGUUCAAAUGAUCAGUCCUUCAAGUGAGUCUCAUCAGCAAGUUGUAGCAGUAGGGCAACCCUUAGCUCUUCAACCGCAGGGGACGGUAAUGCUGACAUCUAAAAAUAUCCAGUGUAUGAGGACGUUACUCAACUUAGCUCACUGCCAUGGAGCUGUUCUGGGUACAUCAUGGCAACUUGUCCUGGCUACUCUUCAGCAUCUUGUGUGGAUUCUGGGACUGAAGCCUGGUGCUGGGGGUGCAUUAAAACCUGGAAGAGCUGUAGAAGGGCCCAGCACAGUUCUGACUACAGCAGUUAUGACUGAUCUGCCAGUUAUAUCCAACAUACUUUCAAGGCUUUUUGAAAGCUCACAAUACCUUGACGACGUGUCUUUACAUCACUUAAUAAACGCCCUUUGUUCCUUGUCUCUGGAAGCCAUGGAUAUGGCGUAUGGAAACAAUAAGGAACCAUCGCUUUUUGCUGUUGCCAAAUUACUGGAAACAGGACUAGUUAACAUGCACAGGAUUGAGAUUCUUUGGAGACCUCUGACUGGUCAUCUUCUAGAGGUCUGUCAGCAUCCAAACUCCAGAAUGAGAGAAUGGGGAGCAGAAGCUUUAACUUCUCUCAUUAAAGCUGGACUAACAUUCAGCCAUGAUCCUCCAUUAUCUCAAAAUCAGAGACUGCAGUUGCUUUUAUUGAAUCCACUAAAGGAACUGUCAAACAUUAAUCAUCCUGAUAUAAGGAUCAAGCAGUUGGAGUGUGUGCUACAGAUCUUGCAAAGUCAGGGUGACAGCUUAGGACCUGGCUGGCCGUUGGUGCUUGGAGUCAUGGGGGCAAUCCGAAGUGAUCAGGGAGAGUCCUUAAUACGGACUGCAUUCCAGUGUCUUCAGUUGGUUGUGACAGACUUUCUUCCAACAAUGCCAUGUACUUGUCUACAGAUAGUUGUUGAAGUUUCAGGAAGCUUUGGACUUCACAAUCAAGAGCUAAAUAUUAGCUUAACUUCAAUUGGUUUAUUGUGGAAUAUUUCAGAUUAUUUUUUCCAAAGAGGUGAAAUAAUUGAAAAGGAGCUAAACAAAGAAGAAGCAGUGUUACAGAAACAGGCAGAAGAAAAAGGAGUGAUGCUGAAUAGGCCUUUCCAUCCUGCACCACCAUUUGACUGUCUUUGGUUAUGCCUGUACGCUAAACUUGGAGAACUGUGUGUGGAUCCCCGACCUGCAGUUAGAAAGAGUGCUGGGCAGACAUUAUUUUCUACUAUUGGUGCUCAUGGAACUUUAUUGCAGCAUUCAACAUGGCACACAGUAAUAUGGAAGGUUUUAUUUCACCUGUUGGAUAGGGUUCGAGAAUCAUCUACCACAGCUGACAAAGAGAAAAUUGAAUCAGGAGGAGGCAACAUUCUUAUCCAUCAUUCAAGAGAUACAGCUGAGAAACAGUGGGCUGAGACAUGGGUGUUAACACUGGCUGGAGUUGCAAGGAUAUUUAACACCAGGAGAUACCUACUACAGCCCUUAGGAGACUUUUCCCAAGCCUGGGAUGUUCUUCUUGAUCACAUCCAAUCAGCAGCACUGAGCAAAAAUAAUGAAGUUUCCCUGGCUGCUCUGAAAAGCUUCCAGGAGAUCUUACAAAUUGUUUCUCCCGUCCGAGAUGCGGAGAAGCCUGACACACCACCUGCUAUCAAUGUUUCUGUACCUGUGGUGGUAGGGACAACGACUGCCACUAGUCUUGGCAGAUCAUUCAUGAGAACUGACUCCAUAGGAGAAAGAAUAGGAAGAUACAAUGGAUCUGAACCACCUGUAAUAGCUGAUGAGAUUGAAGAUCUGAAUCUUUGGUGGGCAGCCUGGAACAGCUGGUAUAGGAUUGGUUCAGAAAGUACAAGGCCUCCAAUUACUUGUGAUAAAUUGACUUUCAUUCCCAGCCAGCCUUUUCUUACAGCUUUAAUUCAAAUAUUCCCAGCUCUUUACCAACACAUCAAAACUGGUUUCAGCAUGGAUGAUCUCCAAAAGCUGGGUGUCAUUUUGCACGGCGCCGUUUCAGUUCCAAUCAGUUCUGAUGCUUCUCCUUUCAUCCUUCCAUCUUACACCGAAGCAGUUUUGACGAGUUUACAGGAAGCAGUGCUUACAGCUUUAGAUGUUUUACAAAAGGCUAUAUGUGUGGGCUCAGAAAGCAUGCAGAUAAUGUAUCCUGCAAUCUUCGACCAGCUGUUGGCCUUUGUAGAAUUUUCCUGCAAGCCUCCACAGUAUGGACAGCUGGAAACAAAGCACAUUGCAAAUGCAAAGUAUAAUCAGAUACAACUAUUUGCUCCGGCGGAAUGGGUAGCGUUGAAUUAUGUACCAUUUGCUGAGAGAUCAUUGGAAGUUGUUGUGGACUUAUACCAAAAGACAGCUUGCCAUAAAGCUGUGGUAACAGAGAAGGUUCUUCAGAACAUUAUCAAGACACUACGAAUACCUCUUAGUCUGAAAUAUUCCUGUCCUUCUGAAAGCACAUGGAAGCUAGCUGUUUCCUCUCUUCUCAAAGUUCUCUCUAUUGGUCUACCCGUUGCAAGGCAGCAUGCAUCUUCUGGAAAAUUUGACAGUAUGUGGCCAGAGCUAGCAAAUACUUUUGAAGACUUCUUAUUCACCAAAAGUACACCUCCUGAUAAUCUCUCAAUUCAAGAGUUUCAGAAGAAUGAGAGUAUUGAUGUUGAGGUGGUGCAGCUUAUCAGCACAGAGAUACUGCCGUAUGCUAAUUUUAUUCCUAAGGAAUUUGUUGGUCAAAUAAUGACUAUGCUCAAUAAAGGCUCGAUACAUUCUCAGUCAUCAUCUUUUACAGAAGCUGAAAUAGAUAUUCGAAUGAGAGAGGAGUUUUCUAAGGUGUGUUUUGAAACACUGCUCCAGUUUUCAUUCAGUAAUAAAGUCACAACUCCUCAAGAAGGCUACAUCUCCAGAAUGGCACUUUCUGUGCUCUUGAAAAGGUCACAGGAUGUAUUGCAUCGCUACAUAGAAGAUGAGAGGUUAAGUGGCAAAUGUCCUCUUCCACGGCAACAAGUAACGGAAAUCAUAUUUGUUUUAAAAGCUGUCAGUACUCUCAUAGAUUCACUUAAAAAGACUCAACCUGAAAAUGUUGAUGCCAACACAUGGGCACAAGUUAUUGCCUUGUACCCGACUUUAGUAGAAUGUAUCACCUGCUCAUCCUCUGAAGUGUGCUCUGCUCUGAAAGAGGCACUAGUUCCCUUCAAGGACUUCAUGCAUCCACCAGCAUCCAAGGAACCAGUUGCUGGGAUCCAGAAUGACUACAGCAGCAGCAAGUGAGGAAAAAAAUUGGAUGAUUUAUGACAACUUGUGUAAGAAAGAUAGUGGAAUUAAUUAUUCAUGAUUCUUAGAGUGCAUGAAGAACAUCAAAAUGAAAAUCACUGGGCUUCAAGAAAGCAGACUUCAGAAAAUUGAUAGUUAAGAUGUCACAGAAGACAAGUCUGAGUUCUGGAAGACAAAGAGGCAGGCCUAGCAGAUCCGUCCUGACCUAGAAGAGGUCACGGAAGUCGCUGUGUGGAAGUGCUGGUUCUUUCUGUGGGAGCAUAGGACACAUACUUCAGCCUUUUGGGGGAGAUGGGGCGAGGUUCAGUUAACAUCUCAAAAUGGGGAAGAUGAAUCUCUGUCAGUGGUUCAGACAGCCACGGCAGCUGCAACUGACGUUGCUAUUGCGAUCUGUUGAUGGUACUACAGCUCUUUUGAACUCCCAUAAGAGCAUUUUCUUUGUGCUUGUGUUUUAGGUUUACUGGCCCUUUUUUGUUUACUUUUUGGUUUUUCACAUGUCCUUUGCAGGGGCCUACUCUGAGGCUUGGCUGGUUUCUUUUUCCCCUCAUCAAGAUCAUAUUCAUUUAUUGUAUCCUGUCUCUGCAAGGGACAUGUUCAGACUUCCUUGCAGCCAUGGCAUUAGUCUAAGUAAUUAGGUGAAGACUUAGGAGCUCAAUAAUUGCUGUUAGUGUAGAAAAUGGAGCUCUUUUUCAGCCUUAAAUUCUCCUUGCUACUUAUCCAUCUUGGUUUUCGUGGGUUCCCACAUUUGGAGGAUUUGUGACGUUACUGACUUCACAAACUCAGUAAACUCAACCCAGCAUUUCCAGUCCUGUGACACUUCUGUACACUCCUUAUCAGAAUGUUUUUCCUGUUUGUUUUUUUUUUAAUAUAGCAUUUAACUGUUGCUUUAGAUCAGAUUGUUUCAGGUCAGCAAGGCUACAGUUGCUUCUGAUACCUAUAACCGAGUGCCUUGAAUGUUUUUUUUCAGUAUUUGAAUUUCUCAUCUUUGAGGAAAAAGAGAAUGUUUGCUAGUAAGUGUGACCUCGUUGAAAGUCAUUGCACACUCACAGUCUCGGUAAACGUGACUUAAAAUACUGAAAGUGACUAAAGGCACCAAUCCUCUAAGUUUUUUAGAGCUUUGAAUUACAGGUGGGUGGCUCCAACAAACAGGGCCUGGAAGCUCACAGAUUGGUUCUCGCAUCCACCUGCAGCCUUGCACAUUUCCUGACCUUUUAGUUCCUUUUUCAUUGCUUUCAGGAUCUGUUUUAUAACUCCUUAUAUUUCUAGUUUUUAGAUAAAUUUCAAAAAGAAAAUAUCAGUGUAGAUAUUCUGUUUUGGUAUAAUAAAUUUUGAUGUAUGCUGAAUAUCUGAUAACAAUGUAAAAAUAACAAUUUCUGCCUACACAGGCUAAACCAGAAAUGUUUAAAUUAACAACCUUACCAAACAUCCAAGAGGAAACAUUAUUCUGCCACUUCUUACAAAUAAAUUCAUCCCACUUAUGUGGUUUAAGGUUACAUUUUACUUUCACCCAAAAGUGCUGAUUUCCCUCAUCUAGAAAUUGCAAACUCCUUGUCAAGAAACGUGCUUAAGUAUACUCUUGAUGUUAAGAUAGACUUCAGUCUGUUAAUGAAUGAAUGUAAAAGAGACCUUAAUUCAGGAAAACAAGUCAUUGCGACAAUACUGCUAGCCCUCUGUAAAAGGUGUUUUAUGUUACAAAAUGACCUUAGAACAGAAGAGAGCACAGUAAAAAAAGCAUAAAAACCCAGCAUUAACUGAAAACCUCAAUAUUCUGACGAAGUAUGGAGGAUUUUUUCCUCCAUUACCUUUUGUAACAUAAUCUUAGUUUGAAUAAAUAUAUCUGAAAUUGUUGCUAGGAAGAA